rnacentral:rRNA from 1 species
GGGAACGGGCUUGGCAGAAUCAGCGGGGAAAGAAGACCCUGUUGAGCUUGACUCUAGUUUAACAUUGUGAAAAGACAUAGGGGGUGUAGAAUAGGUGGGA